AUUGAACGCUGGCGGCAUGCUUUACACAUGCAAGUCGAACGGUAACAGGGAGCUUGCUCCGCUGACGAGUGGCGAACGGGUGAGUAAUGCGUCGGAACGUGCCGAGUAGUGGGGGAUAACGCAGCGAAAGUUGUGCUAAUACCGCAUACGUACUGAGGUAGAAAGUGGGGGACCUUCGGGCCUCACGCUAUUCGAGCGGCCGACGUCUGAUUAGCUAGUAGGUGAGGUAAGGGCUAACCUAGGCGACGAUCAGGAGCGGGUCUGGGAGGAUGAUCCGCCAACCUGGGACUGAGACACGGCCCAGACUCCUACGGGAGGCAGCAGUGGGGAAUAUUGGUCAAUGGGCGCAAGCCUGAACCAGCCAUCCCGCGUGAAGGAUGAAUGCCUUAUGGGUUGUAAACUUCUUUUCGGUUGGAAGAAAAUCCCUGACGUGUCAGGGUUUGCCGGUACAGCAGGAAUAAGCAUCGGCUAACUCCGUGCCAGCCGCCGAAUAAUAC
rnacentral:rRNA from 1 species